CUCUGCUGUGUCCAUCUACCUUUGUGGCCUCCAGUCCAGUGACCCAUGUCAGAACACAAUGAGCAUGGACGGCUCCACCAACACCACAGACACCCAGGAAAUGACACAGCGUUGGCCCAUGGUGAUGCUGUCUUUCCGGGAGUUCACCUACCACUUCCGAGUAGCCCAGCCUGGCAAAGCCAGCUGUAGUACCACCCCGGAGCACAUGGGACACCUCUUCACUGACUAUUAUUUCCAGUUUUACUGGCUCUGUGAGUGAGUCCCGGCAGCACCAGUGCCCUUUGCUGGGAGAGAGGAAGGGGACUGGUGAAACCUAUCAGAUUGCCACAUGCCUUCCUCUGUAAACCUCCAAGUCCCCUUCUGCUCCCACCUUCCCCUUGGGGCUCUGAGCUACUUUGGUUCUGUCCUGGGGACGAUAUAGACACUGAAGUGCUCCAAAAGGAAUAUAGGAACUCUGCCAGGAGCAACACAACCAGCCCCAGGGAUCUACUGGACAUGCUAACCAAACACCAUAGCCCACAAUCCUGGGCAACUGUGUCCAUCUCCUUCCCUUCUGGAGACACUGGUACCCAUCUCCCUCCCUCUGCUACACUGGAUUUGAAAGUGUUACACUGGAUCACAUGUGGACAGGCUUGUCCCAACCUCUAGAGCUGGGACUGUGGUCUGGCUGGGAACAACAGCCCGAGAGGCCUAUCGGUUCCUGUAGCAACGCAGCAGCUCUCUGCAACACUGGAAUUUAUCUUCCAAGACUGGAGCUCUUGUCAAUGCUGAAACACUGGAAUUCCAUCCUGAAAAGAGGGCUCUGCCUGGACAUACUGGAAGUCAUACACUGGAGUUGCUGUUCCUUCUGGUCAGCCACUGGCUAUUCUCCUGCAUCCCUACUCCAUAGGAUUCCUGGUGACAUUGGGAUGCUCCACAUGGACAGCCAGAGAGAAACCCUGCCAAGGAGGGGGCUGCAGAGGCAACAGGGUUCUCCUUGGUCCCUUUCCUCCCUGCCCUGUUUCCCACACUCCAUGCAGACCAGGCCUGAACAGAUGAACUUAAGAACCCCACAAAACCCCUAGUCAGCCUGUGCCAGCCAGUUGGCAAGGGCUUGCCCUUGAUUCCCCCCCCCCCUCAGGAAGUGGGGAGAAGAGGCACCUUGGGAGCAGUCAUCCUCCCCCCCCAAAUACAUCUAUCUAAGGGGUCAGUUUGCAGGUGUUUGUUGCGGUACCCCAUAUUUCUGUGGUUGGGGUGGGGACUGUUCCUGUUACUCUAGAGUAGCUAGAGCUGGCUGGUCCCAGAGCCAGCCCCACAGAACAUCCCUGAAGCCCAGGUUCACCCUGCCUGCCUCUGCUCAGGGGUGCCAAAGGGAGGCCCACCAGCACAGACUGCUCUGCACAAUGGGAGUGGGGCUGCUGGAGACUCAGGUGACUGGUUUCACUGCACCUACUGGUGAAUACAGCUCUGUUCCCAACAGGUCUCUGCCAGGAAAGGUGGCCCCCUACCGAUUUCCCCUAGGAGGGGAGGGGGCAGGUCACUCAAGGCCUGGCUCCCAUUGCCCCCUGGGUAAGCUGGUGAGUGUAUUAUGGGUAUUUUACUGUUACAAGGUUUUAACUUGCUAAACUACUGAAUUUUUUUAAAGCAGUAUAAAAACAGGCCUCUUAAUUCUGUCCUUACUGAUCUAUUUGUGUCUUACAUAGGAAACCAAAGGGGGUGAGUGCUGAGCCCCAGCCUGACAGCUAUAUUGGUGCUGGGGGAGCUAGGACCUGUCAGACUUUGGCAGCUCUUGUAUGUGUGUGUCUUUCUCCCACCCCAGCACUUUUCACCGACGGGGGAGGGAAACUUCUGCAUUCCUGCAGUCUGAACCUGUGCCAGGGUAAUCCUGUGCCCAGUUCUGUAAGACAGUGGCAGCAGCCUCUAGAGAAAGGGAGGGGCAGGCGGAGGAGUAAGCAAGGCAGCUGGAGCGGAAACUCCACUCUGCAAUGCUGAACCAAAGCACAAAGCUGGCUCCAGAGGUGGAAGUAUUUUUCCCUUAGCAAAGCGCCAUCACCUGAUGUAGGCAGCUUUUACCAAACCGGGGCUGGGUAGCUGUGGCAGGGACUCUGAUGACUCUCUUUUCUUGCUGGUAGUGGAGACAAAUACAACAAUCACUGAAUUCCAGACAGCAGAGCAGGAUCUGUUCAUGUCCCAGCUGUAAGGAAUGCAUGGCUGCAAUUCCUGUUGCCCCCAGCAAAACAUUAGGGAAUGCUUUUUUAGUCAAAUAGAGAUGGCUCCUGUACAGCCUUUGGGGGCCUAGGCUUAUCUCCGUUUUAUUUUGGGGGCGAUGCAUAGCAAACAUAACUCCCAAUUGUCUCUGUGACUGCCCCCACACAGGCCAAAUACCUGUAACUCUUGGUGACUUCUAUGGGAGCUAGAUCCUUGGUUCCUCUAAGGAUCAGGCCCUUUAUUUGAAGGUGUGGUUUCGGACCAGCUCUUCAGUUUCCGUUCUCUGCUAAUUAGCAGAGCAGUCAUAGCUGUGUUAGCAAUCUAGCUACUCAAACACACUGGCUGCAGAGAACGAGUAUUGAAUGCCCUGUGAGUGAGAGGCACAUUUUCUGUGCUACACCAGGCAACUAAUAGGGGAGAACAGAGGGCUGAUGGGCCGGUGGUCCCUGAGUGCGAAGCAGUAACACAAAUCCAGUCUCAAUAGGACUGCAUUCCUGCCAGCAAUUUACAGGAAAUCCUCCACUGCCACUCUUUGCAAAGUACACUUUUUACAUUACUUCCCCCCACCCCAUUUGCCCUGAACUUUGCUUUGUUUUUAAGCUGGGAAAUUCCUUUAGUGGCAGCUUUUGUCCUCCAUAUAGCAAUCACUAGCCCCAAUCUUGCAAACUCUAGUCAGUAAGCAAGCUCACAGAUUUUGCUGGGACCGCUCAUGUGAGGGGUAGCACUAUCAGGCCCACUCAAAGUUUUCCUCUUGUGUUUUUAAUAGAGCUGAACUUACUGCCUGUGCUUUAAUUUAGUAGAGCUGGCCUUUCCCUAGGCUGAAUUCACUGCCUGCCUGCAACCACCAUAUAAAUCCCCUUUCUCCUC